GAAAUAAAAGGAAGAAAGCAUCAAACUGGCAGCCUACCAAAGAGAACAGGCAGCCAAAGAGGCAGCACACAAAAGAAAACUAGAAGAAGAAGAGGUGGCCCACAGAAGGAAACAAGAAGAAGAAGAGGCGGCCCACCGCCGAGACAUGGAAAAACAA